AGUGAACGCUGGCGGCAGGCCUAACACAUGCAAGUCGAACGGAAGAACGGUGCUUGCUUGUGGUUUCAGCGGGGGACGGGUGAGUAAGGCAUGGGAAUCUCCGUGGCUGUGGUGGAGAACGGCCGGAAGCGGGCGCUAAUACCGCAUAAGUGCUGAGGGAGAAAGUGGGGGAGCUUCGGACCUUACGCUCUCAGAUGAGUGUAGGUCGGAUUAGCUAGUUGGUGGGGUAAAGGCCUACCAAGGCGACGAUCCGUAGCUGGUCUGAGAGGAUGAUCAGCCACACUGGAACUGAGACACGGUCCAGACUCCUACGGGAGGCAGCAGUGGGGAAUAUUGGACAAUGGGCGCAAGCCUGAUCCAGCCAUGCCGCGUGUGUGAAGAAGGCCUUCGGGUUGUAAAGCCCUUUUGGUUGGGAGGAAGAGCAGUAGGUUAAUACCUUGCUGUUCUGACGGUACCCACAGAAUAAGCACCGGCUAACUUCGUG
rnacentral:rRNA from 1 species